ensembl:lncRNA
UUAGGGGUCCAAGCCAACAGGUUGGAUCCCUAUUGUUUUUGUAAGGAUUUUUCUUAUUAGGGGUCCAAGCCAACAGGUUGGAUCCCUAUUGUUUUUGUAAGGAUUUUUAUACUACCUCCCCGUGAAAGUGGAACCACAGCCCAAACCGUAAAUGGUGCACACGCCCCAAUUGCAUGACUAGAUCCAGAAUCGGCACCGCUACUCAGAUAACAAAAUCCAGAUACGCCGGUCCCUAGGUGGCGCUAUACCAAGGAAUACGCGUUUGGGGCUAUAACUCCCACACCGAACCUCUCAGAGUCCAAAAACUUGUACACACAGAUGCACUGGAGUCUGCUGCAUCUUUUGGCCUAGGCCACGCCCAUUUGCGUCCAGGAAUAUUUUUCGCAAAAUCGCGAAAACCGCAAAACUGUUUUUUCCCUACU